UUACCAUGCAAGUCGAACGGAAAGGCCCUGCUUUUGUGGGGUGCUCGAGUGGCGAACGGGUGAGUAACACGUGAGUAACCUGCCCUUGACUUUGGGAUAACUUCAGGAAACUGGGGCUAAUACCGGAUAGGAGCUCCUGCUGCAUGGUGGGGGUUGGAAAGUUUCGGCGGUUGGGGAUGGACUCGCGGCUUAUCAGCUUGUUGGUGGGGUAGUGGCUUACCAAGGCUUUGACGGGUAGCCGGCCUGAGAGGGUGACCGGCCACAUUGGGACUGAGAUACGGCCCAGACUCCUACGGGAGGCAGCAGUGAGGAAUAUUGCACAAUGGGCGGAAGCCUGAUGCAGCAACGCCGCGUGCGGGAUGACGGCCUUCGGGUUGUAAACCGCUUUCGCCUGUGACGAAGCGUGAGUGACGGUAAUGGGUAAAGAAGCACCGGCUAACUACGUGCCAGCAGCCGCGGUGAU
rnacentral:rRNA from 1 species